GACGAACGCUGGCGGCGUGCUUAACACAUGCAAGUCGAGCGGUAAGGCCCUUUCGGGGGUACACGAGCGGCGAACGGGUGAGUAACACGUGGGUGACCUGCCCUUAGCUCUGGGAUAAGCCUGGGAAACUGGGUCUAAUACCGGAUAUGACUCCAUAACGCAUGUUGUGGGGUGAAAGCCUUGUGCGGCUAGGGAUGGGCCCGCGGCCUAUCAGCUUGUUGGUGGGGUGAUGGCCACCAAGGCGACGACGGGUAGCCGGCCUGAGAGGGCGACCGGCCACACUGGGACUGAGACACGGCCCAGACUCCUACGGGAGGCAGCAGUGGGGAAUCUUGCGCAAUGGGCGAAAGCCUGACGCAGCGACGCCGCGUGGGGAUGAC
rnacentral:rRNA from 1 species